GUAAUCAACCCGCGAUCCGAACAGAUUUGUAAAAAAAAAACAUGGCCAGAAACUGACCACGAACUCCUCUCCCUCUCUCCCUCUCGCCCACGAAUUCCUCGGCACCAACACCACCCGCGUCGCCGGCUUCCGGCGAGCUCCGACGCCGCGCAGCACGCCCCCAAGCCCCCCACGAUCCGCGCCUCCCUCCCCUCCUUCCAGAUUCUCCGUUCCCGGCCUCUAACGUCCGCUCGCAACCAAACCCCCAUGGCUAGGGUUUCGGGCUGGGCUUCGCCGGCGCGUCUCCGGCGGCCCCAGAUGCAGGUGGAGCACGCCAUGGGAGUUCCCCAUCCACCACGGUCUCCGCCGUCAAGUGCUUCUUCACGGAGAUGUGAAGGACGCCAAGGACCUGCAGCUACUCAAGGUUUUAUCUUGUCCCCAUCCUAUCCCCUCCCCUUGCCGCCCCUUCUUCAUUGGAUGACCAGAUGCACAACCACAUAUGUUUUUUGAUUCAGGCUCAUAGGGUCUAGAUUUGAAUGUAAAACUACCUGACUUUACCAUUAACAGAUUGGAAGCACGAUUAUCGCUGCAAUUUUUUUAGUCAUGGCAUAUUUUCUCUUAUAUGUGUUUGUUGAUGAUUAAUCAUCAAAGGUUAUACGCGUGUUUCGUCCCAAGCACAAGUCCUUCUUUCACAUAUCCCUUUUGUCAUAUGUCUUCUUGAUGCAAAGAGGCUCAGCUUGCUACUAAUGGAUUGCAGCUUACCAAAUUUGAUUUGUUUUGGUACAAUGGAUGUUUGGUAUUGAUGUUGAAAGAAUACUUCACUUUCUGUAAUUUCUGAUGUUCAGAUUAUACCGAAUGAAUGCUACCAGAUUCCAUAUUUGUUCUAGAGAUAUUAUUGAUCUUUUCAUGCACCAAUUGUUCAAGUAGUGUCUUUCUGCUAAAAGCUUUAUAUUGCCCUGUGUGUCCUUUUGUCCGUACCUUUUUCCAGUAAUUUUCUCUGUUAACCUUGGGCCAGCUCAUUUGUGUGUGCUUCAUGUAUAUGCUCAUGCUUUUGAUGCUGCUGGACUUUGGAAUGCAUCCGCACAGUAACUUUCUGGGUAUGCUUGCAUUCAGGUUGUCAUUAGUUAUGAGAUGGUACAUCAGUGUCUCCACUCUAGAGAUGAAUAUAAUACGCCAAAACACAGAAAUUAUUCCGUUCAAAGUGAAUGACACGGCGUAAAUCAAACAUGCGCUGAGCCUACUAAUGCGACUACCAGUACUGUUGCACUACUAGAACCCAAUGGCAUGAUGGUGCAGCAAAUAUGGUUUUUUAUUAGAUAGUUUUCUGCACUGUAUAUGUGAUGAAUUCACAAAUUUAUGAUUUUGAGGUACUGGUGAAGGUAGAUUCAAAUGAGUGAUGCAAAUUCAGAAUUGCGUAGGUAGUGCCUACGACUGACUAAGGGUACAUGAGUUGGAAGAAAGUCCAAGCAGAAGGAACUCCUGCAGAUGCCCAGGCUGCUACUGUGCCUAUCUUAAGGUAUUGCUUCAGCGGUGGUAUUAGUUGUUAUUCUUUCCUGAUACAGACAUGACUCUUUGAGCUCCACCAAGGCAUAUAUAACAAGAAGAGAAGCUUGGUUCAUUUUUUUAUCAGGCAGGGGAAAUGAAAGGACGAUGCGCCGUACAUUCUAGAUUAUUUAUCAGUGUUAAUCCGUAUUAACUAAUUUUAUAGCCAUUGUAAUUAGCAAUAGAGAAAUGUUUGCUGAUAUUUUUUACCUGCGAGACCAUAGUACUUUCUUGUUUUCUUUCUGUAAUAAGUGCGAGAUACGAGCAAUAAUAAUAUAUUGGAGUUUAUUCAUGGAUGAAGCGGUUCAUCUCAAGAUAUAUAACAUUCAUGUUUCCCUUCCUAAUGUUUCUUUGGUGAAGUCAUAACCUAUUUAUGUUUCAAUGGAAUUCUGUUCAAUUUGCAAUUGUUUCCUACUAUGCAGGGUGAUCUUGACCUGAUUUUGCUUUCGAACUGAAUUGUGGUAAUCAAGCAGGGAGACGAGACGCUGUUGAGCUGUUUUUCGGUAGAUUUGAGCUACCUAGAGUUGAGCUAGGCACCAGACGAGCAGAAGCACAAACGUAGGAGGUAUCCAACAAUGGCAACCGCAACGCCAUUCCACUUAAACCUGGAGACCAGAGAAAGGAUGCGGUACCACUGCUCUUCUUUCUCCUUACUAAAUCUCUGAAAAGGGAUGCUCAUAUAAUUACUAAUAAUUUAGUUGCAAGUCUUCUGUAAGAGCCUUGAUGUACUUUAUCUCAUGGUUUGGGUUGUGAAAGAAUUUUGGAAGGACCACAAGGUAGUCUUCAGUUCAGUUUGUCCAUUUAUAGUGUUGAUGUAUCUAGCUACUUGUAUCUGCUUUCUUUUGUUGUAAAAUGAAAUAGCAUUCUUGCUGAUCAAUGAAAUUAGAAAAUCAACAGACUACAUUGUUCCUUUUUUUCUUUUCUUUUUCUAUCCUUGAAGAUAUUUAAUGAUGUGAUCUGAAACUUUUAGUUUUGUUCUAUUAUGCAAAGUUAAGAGUUUUCGGGAUAAAAUUCUAAUUUGGGCCACUCUCUUUUUUACAAGAGUUCUAGGAAAAUUUACAUUGAAAUUUGUCACAUGCAAACUGGAGGAAGGGGCAAUAAGCAGAGAAUUCCCCUCAAGAUGUGAACUGCAUUGAUGCCCUCGGUAUGUGUGUUGCUACUGCUGAAUGAUGCUCCCUUGUCGUUGUUGCUAUAGUACGAUUUAGUACAGCUUGUCUAAAUGGGUUAGAAGAGGGGUUAUGAAAUGUUUUGUUGGAGUUUAAAUAUUCUUUCAUGUAUUAAACUGAUAAGUUGUGCACUUUUGCUGCUGUUAGAUAAACUGACUACUCUGUACUGUUGGAUAGCCAUGGUAUGUGUUAGUUUUAUUUUACCACAAAAGUUUCUUGGGAGUUGGGAUAUCAGGUGUAUUCAUUACUUUUCCUAUGAAUAUAUUCUAUUUUGGUGCACUGUAUAUCUAUCUAAUCUAUCUAUCCAAGUUUUCAAAGAAAUUGAUGGCGGCGGCUCGGCCGUGUCGUGGUGAAUGGCGAAGCUUCGAAACUGAACAUGAGAAAGGUGUUGACGCGCGGCUGGGAGACGUACAUACUUGAGGAAAUAUGAUUCAUAAGGUUUCAUAUUAACGAAAACUGAUAAUCUGAACAUUUUGUUUAUUCCUGGAUGACUUUAUUCUCCAAUAUGAAUAUGUAAGAAAAGAUAUGACAUACAUUUGUGUAAAUUGAUAAUGUAGGGUCAUCUCGAAACUUUAUUAUUUUUUCAAGAUUGAUUUACUUGGUGGUGUUAACUUCCAUUUUCUCGAAACAGGACAUGUGUUCUAUUUCUGAAAAAAGAAGCUUCUCUGUUAGCUAGCAUCCCCGACGGUACUUUUAGACUGGAUGUAGACCAGUAGGGUCAAUUAAAAAUUGUUGGCUAUAGAUGACUUUAAGUUUCUAGCUUUCAUAAAAUGUAGACGUGUACGUACUCUAACAGUAUGUCGUGGUUGAUGAUGGUCCUAUGUACUGGUUGAAAUUAUCAUGUUGGAUAAUAUUGCUUAUAUGUUGUGGUUGAUUGUGGUCCUAUGUACUGGUUGAAAUUAUCAUGUUGGAUAAUAUUGCUUUUA